rnacentral:tRNA from 1 species
UGGGGUAUCGUCUAACGGUAGGACUGCAGACUCUGACUCUGCCUGUCGGGGUUCGAAUCCCUGUACCCCAACCA